GUUUUCUUGACUGCUUGGAAGACAGAAACCUCUCUGGAGAAGAGCUUCAGUGCUUCCCAUGAUCACCUGCAAAGUAUGAGGCUGAAGUGACUGUACUGCAGGUUCUUAUUUCUGAGGAAUGUAGGUUACUGAAGCUCAAAUUAAGAGACUGUAAGGUGCAGAUUAAUGCAGUAGAAGGCGAGGUUCCAGCCUGUCUCAAAAGGUGUGUGCUCUGUAGCUGAGUGGGGCUAGCAGGCACAAUUGGCCAGGUCACUGUUAUUUCCUCCAUGCCUAUUCUUGUCCUCCCCAUUAUUGCCUACUUGAGUUGUGAGCUCAUAAAAAAAAGAAUUUUUUUUUCAGUCUGUUCCUUAUUUUGCAUGACCUAAUGCUGCAGUGAGCACAAUAAUCUGUGUCCUCAACAAAUACACGUCACUCUCAUCACUGCAGUGGAUGUGUCCUAUUUGCAGCAGCGUGGAAGGUAUCCUUGUGCAGGAGAACUUGGAGGCACAGCAAAUGUGGUCAGUGUAUUUUUCCAUAGAAAUGGUAUCUAUUUUGUAUAUUUCCACUGAGCUUUCCACUUCAUAUCCGAAAUGAAAAUGAAAUAGCAAGUGAUGAAAAUAGAGAUGAAAAUGAUGAUGAGGAUUUGUGUAUAAUAAUCAUCUCCAGUUAUUAAAGCUUUGCAAUACCCUUUUUCAGAGAUGUUCAUAUGAAUCACUGAGAUCUGAUGACUUGCUCAAGGUCACACAGCAAGUUUGUGGCAGAGACAGAAAUAUAAAUGGCAUCUUGAAAGACAAUAUGGAAUCACAUUCACAGACUUUAAUUUGUAUGGACUUGCAAACUCUUGUGCUAUCUGAUGCAGCAAGGCCUCAGGCUACAAAGGAAGAUGGAGGCACACCCAGAAAUAAGAACCAUGAAGAAUAAGAUGGAGGUACAGACAGUUGUGUGUGGAUACACUGGAGUCCUGGUACCAUUGGAUUUAUGGUUAUGCUCCUUGUCUGCUAAGAAACCCUUCUAUAAAUUCACAUUAGUAGAAGAUAUGUGAAUUCCUGAAUAGAAUCCAAUGAGAAUGAAAUAACCACAUAUGUUAGGUACAAAAAUGCCAAUCCUUAAAGACCUAAUGUCACUUAUUUUCU
rnacentral:lncRNA from 1 species